UACAUGUGGGGCAAGCGUUGUUCGGAAUUACUGGGCAUAAAGGGUGCGUAGGCGGCUUGUUAAGUCACUGGUGAAAGUUUUCGGCCCAACCGGAAAAUGGCCUGUGAUACUGGCGAGCUUGAGUGCGUGAGGGGUGGGGGGAACGAGCAGUGUAGCGGUGAAAUGCGUAGAUAUCUGGAGGAACACCUGCGGCGAAGGCGGGUUGCUGGGCUGAUACUGACGCUGAGGCGCGAAAGCCAGGGGAGCGAACGGG
rnacentral:rRNA from 1 species